rnacentral:lncRNA from 1 species
CAGGAACUCUGAAGAUUUCAUCUCCUAAGUGGAGCCAGAAUCCAGACGCUGGGAAAUGUGAAUGUUCCAAUAUGGCUGACCAUCAUGGAAUGGGAUCAACAGAUGGAAAUAGGAGGCUUCAUCUUCUUCAUCUUGGUCCUGAGGCUCCAUCAGCCAGGUUUCCAGCACACAUUAAACCCAGGGCUAGAGUCUUUAUCAAAAGAAGACAUUUGGACACAGACACAUACACAGAGAGGACACUGUGUGAAGACGAAGACAGAGAUUGGAGUGAUGCAUCUGCCAGCUGGGGAAUACUGAAGUCUGCCAGCAGCCACCAGCAGCCAGGAGAGGGACAGGGUGCAAAUUCUCCUUCACAG